UUCAAGCUGACACAAGUAGUUUUGCUGCAAGGACCCUAAACUGGGACCAGCCCAGCUCAGUACCUGUGUGCCUGCUGGAGUGGCCAUGCUGGAGAACCAGGAGCAGCUGAGAACAUCUUCAGGCUAUAGUGCUAGUUCCAUUUCAUCCGUGUUUCUUGAUUCCUCUCUUCAUCUGUACUUACACAAGGGUAAAAGCUGUGUUCCUAGAGCUGUCUGGCAGCACAGCUUUCCAAGCUUGGGGUUUUUUUUUAAUGUUACUUGUAGCAAAGUGCUUCCCUUUCAGCUGAAUGUCAUUCUGCCUCUGGAGCAGAAUGGCAGCAUCCUCACACACCCACACUUGUUGCCAUUCCUGUAUCAUCCUUGUGGAGACAUCCAGCCUAUGGGCAUUGGAACAGUUGGAGAGAUCCACAAGGAACCUUCUCAAAUGGAAGCUGAAGGCUGUAGUCCUCUGGCAGGAUUUGGGAUGAAAUGUAAUUUUUUUCCUCUGAUCAAGACAUAAACUUGAUAGGAACAGUUGUAGCUCUGCCUGCAAGCAAAGCAUCCUGUUCCCAUUGCGGGCUUUCAGCUUGAUGGAGGAUCAUAAGGAAAGGGGAAAUGAUGAGGGAAAGGACUAACAUUUUAGGGAAGGUUUGUGCACCUUUUCAUCUUUAGAUUUUUGCCCUGGGUUGCCACAGAUUGUCCAAUAGCAUUUCUUUCCAGAACUGGAUAAUUCCGUCACUCUGACUCCAUGACCUGACAUAAAUCUUGCUUAGAUGAUCAGCCCCUCAGAACCAAGGGCAGAAGCUUUUCUUUGAUUUUUUUUAGAGGCAAGAGAAUUUGCUGCAAGAACAUGGAUAACCUAAAGGGACCCAAUAUAAGAUUUUGUCUUGAGCUUGUAUUGCUUGUUGUCAGAGUUACUUCUGGAGAACAAGAGGGCAUCGAGGCACUGGAAUGGCUGCUUUUAAGGGUUGUUUUGAGGACUUUGGCCAAUAUCCUGUGUGUGUGGAGUGUUUGGUCCUGGGCAGCAGCCACUGAUUUUUGCUAUUCACGUUGGCAGUUGUGUCACCUGAUGAUUCAAAAGGGAUUUUCUCCUUCGUCUGCGCUGGCUUCCUUCUGUUCUCAAAACCACACCUCUCUUUCUCACUGUCCUUUGCUGGUGUUUUUCCUUGCUCUGUCCCUGGUGUGUGCCCUCUGGAAUUCAUGAUGUGUCUGCAGUGCUGUCCAGGGGUUGAGAGGAUGUUUUCAGCAGAUUCCUGGAGAAUCAUAGCAGGAAUGUGCAGGAACUGCUCCAGAUCUAUGGUGCUGAUGGCUGCUGGGAGGGCAGGGUCUAUCCUGCACCUUGAGGUGUCCAGAUGGGAGAUGCCAAUGGGCCAUGCUGGUAGACAGCACUCCCCUCCACAGAGAAUCCCACUGCUGGACUUCUGCUAGGAAAGAUUUAUAACCCCUUCAAAAGAGCUAACAAUAAAAAAAAUUGUAGGUAAAUUUGCCACACUUAAAGCAUGACUUCUUAUCUGCAAUCAGAUCUUAAUCUGCUUUUGCAAAGUCUGCCUUUGUCUGAAGCAUUUGUCUUUGGCCGUGGUCCAUCCAGUGCAGCAUCCUGGCUGCCUGGAUUUGAUUAAGCAGAUGACUUACAUCUUCUUUACUGUGUAGUGAUACUCUGAUCUGGACACCAGCUCAGCAGACACUGAGGUGUUUUUUUGGAGUCAGGACAUGCAAAAAUGUGUUGCUGGACUGCUUUAGACAAAGUCCUUUGGUGAGCUGAAAAUGAGGAAGGGGUAGGAGUUGCCUCAGGGGUGUGACUGACUGCUCCAUUAUGAAUCAGCUGGAGUGACUGGAGCCACAGGGAUGUCACAGUGCUGAAGCUGCUCCCUCACCUUGCAUUGCAAGCACAGCCAAACAGAGGAUUUUCAGUUAUUUUAUGAUUUUACCAUGUUGAUGCUGAGCAAGGGGAAAUGGCACAGAUCUCAUUUCCUGUUGUUAUCAAUAGCAGUGACAGUUCAUAACUCCCCAGUGAGUUAGAUAAUACUUUUGUUCAUUUUUUACUUUCAUAUAAAUGAACCAAAAGAACUGGCAACAAGCACACAGUAGGCAGGAGCAUCCUGAUGCACAUCAUGUGCAAAAUUUAUACAGUAGGAAAAACAAGGGAAUAUUCCAGUUUAAAUCCACUCUCUACUUUGAUCUGGCUCACCUACAUGGCAAACAAUAUUUCUUCUAGCUAUGAGAUAGAUGUCACCUUUUAUAAAGAUAUGUGGAAAACCAGUAAUUGUUCCAGUCAACGAUGGCAUUUGUCAUAUCCCAUUUAGUGAACUCAAUCUCUUUACUCAUUCACAGUGGUGUUUGUGAAAUCCUUGAUGUCUGACACAUUGAUUUGUCUGUGUAAAAAGCAGAAAUACCUGACACUUGCCACGGAACAAAGUUUCCCAGCAGGUGUACAAGCUGCAGGUCCUUCAGGGACACAUGGUGAGAGUUUCUUUAGCUGCAAACUGGAGAAUUCAUGGAGGGCAAUAGGGGAGGCCUCAUCCUGCCACAUCCAUCUCAGGAAGUGGGAACUGCCAGCACAUGCCAUGUCUGAGCAAAUCUCAGAGCUCCCAUAGUCCCUUACCCAUGGAGAAAACUGUUUAUUGAAGGCACUGCCUCUCAGGUUAAAAAAAAUAAAAAAGAAGCAAAAGAAAAGUUAUAAUCUAUAAAUGCUGGGAUUUUGAUCUAAUAAUAUAACUGACUCAAUUGAUGUUUAAUAUCUCAUUCCAUGCUGAACAGAGUCCCCAAACUCAUAUUGUGCUGCUUAUCUAAAUAGCAAAAUACAUUUUCUUCUGGUUUAAAGGUCUAGUAAGUAGAUAUUAGCUGAUUUUUAGAUACAUGUACUUCAUGCUCUGGUGUAAAGAAAUUGUAUUCUUCCCAGUUCUGUUUGACUGCAGUUCUACAGAGCAAUGUUUCUUCUGCUCAGAUAAUUUUUUUUUCCCCUUUAAAUGUUUAAUCUGGGGAUAUUUUUUUUCCCCUUUAAAUGAUUAACUUGGGGAUGUCAUUUGACUUCUUUCUCCGUUCAGGGCACCAGUACAAGUCAUGCUGUUCAAUGCCCAUUUAACAUGGUAUUCUGCUUUCACAAAAAGCUAAUGAACAUGAGCAUUUGGGAUUCAUUGGAAAUGGUCUACUUAAUGUGGUGCUUCUGCAGGAGAUAUAGUCCUUUCCAAAAGUUACUGCUUCUCCAGUCCUUGCAGCUAUUCCUGUCAGAUACACAGGGGAGCCCUGGCAAGGACACGGAGUACACUGCCUUUUUUUAGUGCCAAAAUUACUCUAAUCGAUCUUAUUUAUUCUUUACACCAACAUUCAACAGGAAGAAAAGCUCCAAAUUCAGACUUGUGGCAGCAACUUCAUUAGGGCAUAAGGAACAGAGAACUUCAGUGCCUGGGACACUUCUUAAGAGACUUUUCAGAGUAUUUCCAUGUCAACAGGAGUCUAACUCUGAUCUUAUUCUUUCUGAAGCCCACAGUGACUUUCCUGUUAAAUGCACUGGCUCAGCAUUGGUUGUUAAUAAAGGAGGGUGAUUGUCCUUCAUACUAAACCUUUCAGCCCAGAUCACUGUAAAAGUGGUAUUAGUGUGAUUAAGAAGAUCCAGGCCAACACUAUUUAACUGCUUAAUCUUAAAAAUGAGAUAGCAGAGAUUGCAGUGUGAAUGCCUGGCCUGCAAGAUCAGCACAAGAGGUGCUUAAAAAAAAAAAAAAAAAAAAAUUGUAAAAUUAUCUUGCCAGUCCACGAAAAACAUUGGAUGAAUGCAUUUGUGCCACUAAAAACAAGAUGUCAUAUCCCUGGCAGUGUCCAAGGCCAGGCAGCACAGGCCUGGAGUAAACUGGGACAGUGGAAGUGUCACUGCUCAUGGCAGGGGAUGGAACUGGAUGGUGUUUAAGGUCUGUUCCACCCCCAACCACUCUGGGAUUUUGCCAUGCAGACAGACCAAAUCAUCAUCUGCUAGGAAGUUUUCUGGGCCCCUCUCAGAGGGCAUUUGGGGGACAGAGGUGUAACUCAGCAGUUGUGUGGCUACUGUGCCAUAAAAAGGGAGCAGAUUGUGGCUGUUCCUCUGCCCCCUGGAACCAAUCAUUGGUGGAACCAGUACAGUUUUAGGCUGCAGGGUUUGUUCACCCAGUUCAAAUUUCCAUCCACUUUAGAUCCCAAAGCUGUGUGCUGCCAGCUCCCUGAUGAAUCCCUUGUUUUUUAAUGUAUCAAUCUUGGCAAUUCCUCUGUGAAGUUAGGAAAAGCACAGAAAUUUUAAUUGUGGCAUUAAAAGCUACCUAGAUCCUUGUACUGAAAUCCAAAGGUACCUGUGAGAUUUCUAAAAAAAUCUCCUAUCAGGAAAUCUGACAGGGAACUGGAUCUGCAUUCUUUUCAUUACAGACUGCUGCUGUAAUGAUUCAAACAUCUUCUCCUCAUCAGGGACAGUGUAUUUACCGUGCUAUCCAUUAGGGAGAUGACUGCUCCUGGAAGAGAUGCCAAAAUUCCACUGUUUUUGAUGUGUGAAUGUUCACAGUCACCUGUAUAAAUAGCGGUAGGCUGCUGGAGAAAACUGUAUUGAUGCUUUUGCUUCUGGGAUUUGGUUUAUUUGUCUUUCAUGAUCAGUGAGAAUUGUUGUAGAAGUGCUUCUCCAUAACAAUGCUGGGAGGAGUAGGGGGGCAGUGGGUGAGCACCGGGGUCCUGGGGGGCUGAGCUGUCAGAUGGAGCUGAUUUCUCUCUGCAGCUGUGAGCUUAACUUAAAAAACAUUCGGUGUCUGCACAGGGUUUUAUUUCUAGAGCCAUAGUUUGAGGCAGAGGAGGGGCAGGGAUGUGAGAAGUGCUAUCAGUUAUUGUUGCUCUGUAUCAGAGCAGCAAUAGAUGCCAAUGGAUUUCCGGUGGAUAAUUCAAUGGCAACUUUCUUCUGAGCACUGCAGCCGGGGAGCCUUUGAAAGAAAGAGGUUAAGAGACAAGUAAGUAGGAUUGGAGUGCUAUUAUUACAGCUAUUUUUCUUUGCUUCUAAUACAUGUCAUCCUCUUUUAUUAGGAGCUGACUGUUGAACCAGGAAAACUGAUGCUACAGUGUACAAAUGAUGGCUAGGCAAGGAAGGAUCACUGAUAAGUGAUCUGUAGUAUAUUGACCUUUCAGAAAAAUUGAAUAAAAAUACACAUGCUUUGAGACUUUCACAAGUAAAAGAUCACCUAUGUCCUCUCAUUGUGCACAAAGAGCAUGAGUGCCUCUAGCAGUGGCAUGGAAAACAAAGCCACCACCAUCCCCACCGUAACCCCCCAGCCACAGGAACGAGGACACCAGGCGUUGUGUCUCACCAAAAUCACAGCUCCUGCCAUACCAGGGAGCUGCAGGGAGAACUGGGGAUACCAGAGAUGUCACAUUUGAGUGAAUGCUUCCCAUGUCCCAGUUGUACAACUCUUAAGCUCUCCAUAUUAUUCAAAUAUCAAUUAAUUAAUGCUUGCUGUGGCGUGUGAUUUAACCAUAUAUUCAGGACUUCUUUGUUCAUUUAAUAGCAAUGAGAUGUCACAGCAACACCUACUGAGAGACUGAAGAGAAAAUUCAACUUUUAAGUGCAGUUCUGUGACCUUCUAGUGUUUUCCUAAAAAUAUGUACUACCCUCUACCAAAAUCACACUUUUCUUUCCUGCUUCUCCAUACCUAUAGUCACCCAACCUUCCUGAUCCACAUGAGAGCUCACUGUGUUUUCUUAAACAACAAUUUUUCAUCGGUUAGUGUUUGUAAACACCUUUUUUUUUUCCCUACCAUGCUGUUUAGAUGUAUUUGAUGUGAAACCCAUCUACUUUCUUCUUUGUCUUCAUAAACAAGGUUUGUGCAUUCUGCUCUGCAGAGUCUGUUAAUCUCAGCAUUCUGGGACUCUCAACAGGAAGGUUUUGGUUGAGCUUGUGCUUGGCUACAACAAGGAAUCUGGGGGUAAAAAAAAUCAGCCAGCUUAGUCACAUCCCAGUUUUCUGGUACAUAAUAAAAGAAUUCUCUUAGAGCAGAAUUUACAGCAGUGGAGGUGUCCUAGACCAGCUGAAUUUAGCUUGGAUAGAGGAGGUUUUGGUCAGACUCAUCCUUUUCUCUAAUGGAACCCAGACAUGUAUCUACAGAGAGAAAAUAUAGGGGAUAAGGCUGGGCAUGAGUAUGAAAACUUGGGAAAGUUCUGCAGGUGGACAUUCUGUAAGCAGAGAAUACACUCAAACAUAUACACAUCUAUAUACACUUGGAUCUUCUUUCCCUUAAGGAAUGUAGCUGAGGAGAUUGGCCAGAUAAGGUGUUUAAAGCCCUCAUUUGUAGAUGAGUGAUUGAUUUCAGCCUCACAGGGACACUGAGUGCCAGUUCUCAGGAGCUUGGAGGAGGCUGUGGCUUUCUGAGUGCUGGGCUGGGGCUCCCUGAGCUGUGGGAGGUGGCUGCUGGGGGAGAAAAUAAUUUACACAGGAAACAGCAUUCCUCAAAGGAGAGACAGAAA